GAUGAACGCUAGCGGCAGGCUUAAUACAUGCAAGUCGAGGGGCAGCAUGGUGUAGCAAUACACUGAUGGCGACCGGCAAACGGGUGCGGAACACGUACGCAACUUACCCAAAACUGGGGAAUAGCCCGGGGAAACCCGGAUUAAUACCUCGUAACAUAAUCGAGUGGCAUCACUUGAUUAUUAUAGCUCCGGUUGGUUUGGAUGGGCGUGCGCCUGAUUAGGUAGUUGGCGGGGUAACGGCCCACCAAGCCUACGAUCAGUAACUGGUGGGAGAGCACAACCAGUAAGACGGGAACUCGGACACGGGCCCGACUGCUACGGGAGGCAGCAGUAAGGAAUAUUGGUCAAUGGACGCAAGUCUGACCCAGCCAUGCCGCGUGAAGGAUGAAGGUCCUCUGGAUUGUAAACUUCUUUUAUAUGGGAAGAAAUCCAUCUUUUCUUGGGUGGUUGACGGUACCAUAGGAAUAAGCACCGGCUAACUCCGUGCCAGCAGCCGCGGUAAUAC
rnacentral:rRNA from 1 species